rnacentral:rRNA from 1 species
GGGGGGACCAUCCUCCAAGGCUAAAUACUCCUGAUUGACCGAUAGUGAACCAGUACCGUGAGGGAAAGGCGAAAAGAACCCCGGCGAGGGGAGUGAAAAAAGAACCUGAAACCGUGUACGUACAAGCAGUAGGAGCCUCUUUAUGGGGGUGACUGCGUACCUUUUGUAUAAUGGGUCAGCGACUUAUAUUCUGUAGCAAGGUUAACCGUAUAGGGGAGCCGUAGGGAAACCGAGUCUUAACUGGGCGAAUGAGUUGCAGGGUAUAGACCCGAAACCCGGUGAUCUAUCCAUGGGCAGGUUGAAGGUUGGGUAACACUAACUGGAGGACCGAACCGACUAAUGUUGAAAAA